GUUCUACAGGUAUGGAGCUUCAUGUUUCUUGCUAUGCCCUUAGAACAAAUCUUUCACUGAAUGGUGGAAAUAAGGAGGCACUGGUUUCAAUGACCUACUUGGAAAAAAGAAGGAAGAAUGAAGAAUCAUAGAAGAGCUGAAGUUGGAAGGCACCUCAAAGAUCCUCCAGUUCCAGCCACCAUACCAAGGGCAGAGUUGCCACCCACUAAAUCAGGAUGCUCAGGGCCCUAACCAACCUGGCCUGGAAGGUUGAAAGGCUGGUCGGUUUUAACUUUGUAAGGCUGGAAAUGGUCACAUAAGUAGUCUGAAAACAAAAUGCUGCAUCCCAAUUUUGAUCAAAAAUAAUAUAUUUUUUUAAUUAGAGCAGAAAAGCUCAUCAUCUCAUUUAGAUUUCAUGAAAAUGUUUUACAACAAAAUGAAGUUUUUCUUAUCCCUCAGAAUCAGUUCAACCUUGAAAUCAGAUUUGAUUAUUUUUCUGCUUUUAGCAACUCUUGUUCUAUCAAAGAAUCACUGAACAACAGGUUUAAUGUUUGCUGCUCACAACUGAAAUGACAAUGAGAACUAAUCCCAUACAUCGAUGGAUGCUGGAACAAUGGAGAGAAAGUUGUCCAUUUUGACAGACUUUUUCUCAACCACUAUUUUUCUGACCCAUACUUCAAGCCCAUCAACUGCCGACUUCUCAGCACAAAGAAUCCAGAAGCAGUGCCAUGAGUCCACACACUCAAGCCAUGCAUAAGAAUUUGCAAGAAGAGAGAAAAUGUCUACGGAUGAAUGGUGGAUUUAUUUGGUCAGCGGUAAUAACAUUUCAGCAUCCAAGCAGAAUAGAGAUCGAUGACAAAGAAAAAACAUGUAAAAA